AUGCACCACACCACACAAACACAUCGCGCACACACCACACACACCCCACACACACACCACAGCACACACACCCUACAAACACACCGCACACACCACACCACACACACCACACUAUACACACCACACACACCACACUAUACACACCACACCACACUGUACACACCACAUACACAAACACCACACAGUACACCACACACACCACACUAUACACACCACACCACACUGUACACACCACACACACAAAUAGCACACACACACCCCACACACACCACAGCACACACACACCACACACAGCCCACACACCCUACAAACACACCGCACACACCACACCACACACACACUAUACACACCACACACACCACACUAUACACACCACACCACACUGUACACACCACACACACAAACACCACACAGUACACCACACACACCACACUAUACACACCACACCACACUGUACACACCACACACACAAAUAGCACACACACACCCCACACACACCACAGCACACACACACCACACACAGCCCACACACCCUACAAACACACCGCACACACCACACCACACACACCACUAUACACACCACACACACCACUAUACACACCACACCACACUGUACACACCACACAAACACCACACAGCACACCACACACACCACACUACACACAAACGGCACACUCACCCCACACACACACCACACACAGCCCACACACCCUACAAACACACCACACACACCACACACACAAACACCACACACACAACACACGCUAUACCAAAUACACCACACGCACACACACCACACAAACACACCACAUGCACCGAACACACCACAUGCACACAAACACACAAACACAAACCACACUACACACACCACACUACACACACCACACACAUACCCCACACCACCCCCACACAUGCCACACUACACACCCCACACACACUACAUUACACACAAACACACCACACACACACCCCACACACACACCCCACACUACACACCACACCACAGCCCCGCCCCCACCACCCACCUCCCGCGCCCCCCUCCCGCCUGCCGGUGUGUGGUGUGUGCUCUAG
rnacentral:lncRNA from 1 species